AAAAGAAUUAAAAAAAAAAAAAAGGAAAAAGGAAAACAAUCUUAUCUAAUUAUUGCAGCUUGAAUAAUAUUGCCAAUUACCAACAAAGUGCAUGUUGUAAGGAUACUAGUUCACUCAAAACAAGAUGUGAGAGUGGGACUUGUCCCACAUUAGUAACAAAUGAAAGGGAAGGGGGCCUGCUUCCCUAUAAAAGGAAAUCCCCCCUCCUUAUUCUUCAAUUAAUGCCUAAUUGCUAGCCAACGCAUGAGGCCCAAAUGGGUCCUGCUAGUUUUAUGUUACCUAAAGGUUUUUUUUUUUAAUUUGAUUUUCUUAAUAAUAUAAGUUGAAUUAUAUUUAAAAUGAUAUAUUAAUUUCAAUUAUAUUUUAAUUUUAGUUAGAUUUUAAAGUAUUUUUAAUUUAAAUUUAAAAUAUUUUUAAUUUAAAUUAACUUUUAAUAUGAAUAAAAAAAUAGUAACAAGCUCGAGUAGAGCUCAAGCUAUAGACAAGCACAGUUCAAGCUUUUGGCUCGUUUAUAUUAUAAAUGAGCUUGAAAUAUAAAAAUGAGCCGAGCUUGAAUUUAAUAUUUUUAUAAAGAACCAAGCUUGAGCCCUAUUAUUAAAGCUCGAGUCGAGCUUGAGCCUGAACUAUUCAAAACUCGACUUGAUUCGUUUACACUCUAUGAUUUGUAUUCUUAAUUAGUAGAGUAAUUAUAGUAGGAUAUAUAUUCCUAACUAGAAAAGGAUUCCUAAUUAGUAAAUGAUUCCCGGUUAAUAUAGUGUAGUACAAUUAUAGGAAAGAAUUGUGUAUAUACAUAUACAUGUAUAUGUAUA
rnacentral:misc_RNA from 1 species